rnacentral:rRNA from 1 species
UACGUAGGGUGCGAGCGUUAAUCGGGAUUACUGGGCGUAAAGCGUGCGCAGGCGGUUUUGUAAGCCAGGUGUGAAAUCCCCGGGCUCAACCUGGGAAUGGCAUUUGGGACUGCAAGGCUGGAGUGCGGCAGAGGAGACUGGAAUUCCUGGUGUAGCAGUGAAAUGCGUAGAUAUCAGGAGGAACACCGAUGGCGAAGGCAGGUCUCUGGGCAUUAACUGACGCUGAGGAGCGAAGGCAUGGGGAGCGAACAGG